rnacentral:lncRNA from 1 species
CUUGCUGCUAAGAUCCCACCACAGGCUGUGCAACUCCUUGGGCCUUCGCUGCCGCUUGGGCCGCCGCCGCAGCAGCUGCUGCGGCUGCAGCGGAUGCAGCGGAUGGAGGUGCCGUUGGCACAGCAGGGGUGGUGGUUGUUUGUGGGGCAGUCGCAACUUGCUGCUGCUGCUGGGCGUUCACCUGGGCAAGCAAAUUCUUGAUCUGAGCCCCAGAAAGUGUCUCAUGCUCGAGAAGAGCAUUGGCGAGGGCAUGCAGCUCUUUACUGUUAGUUGUCAAUAUAGUUUUCGCAUUGUUAUAUGCCCUUUCCAGAAAGUCCCUCACCUCCUCCUCAAUAAGCAGCCUUGUCUCGGUGCUCAUGCUCUUACCAUUGUCAUCAUAGUCGUGUGCAACAAGACCCACCUGCUUGCUCAUACCAUACUUUGUAACCAUGGCUCUUGCUAGAUAAGUAGCUUGUUUGAGAUCAGAGGAAGCACCAGAAGUCACCUCGUUUUCCCCGAAUAUUAGUUCUUCAGCCACCCGUCCACCCAUGCAAACGUCCAGCCUUGCAAGCAUUUGCUUCCGAGAGAUGCUGGUCUCAUCCUUUUCCGGCAGUUGGGCGACCAUGCCGAGCGACAUCCCCCUUGGAACGAUGGUAGCUUUAUGGACCGGGAGGGCGCCGUCGGUGUGGAUGGCCACAAGAGCAUGACCGCCCUCAUGGUAAGCUGUCAGCCUCCUUGAUUCAUCAGAAAUCACUGCUGAUUUGCGUUCGCUGCCCAUCAUGAUCCUGUCCUUGGCAUACUCCAGAUCAGACAUGCUCACAGCUUUGGCCCCAUCCAUAGCAGCCUUAAGGGCAGCAAUGUUGACCAGGUUUGCAAGGUCAGCACCAGAGAACCCAGGUGUUCCCCUUGCAAUGAUCAUUAGAUCUACAUCAUCUGCCUUCAACACCUGCAUCAAAAUAAAUAACAUUUUUAUGCCAACAAUUUAUAGAUGCUAUCUUUUUUAAGGUUCUUUUAAGGGCCAUCUUCAUGGCCUGAUGUUAAUGUUGCAUGGACACAUGUAAAGCAUAUCCAAAUGUUGGACACAGCAAGAAGAAAACACAAAAAAAAAAGGAAAAAUAUAUAAAUAUCUUUAAUAUUCUUUGUUUAAAGAUUAAGAAAACAUUGUUGGUUAAGAUCCAUCAAUAUACAAGUUUUCCACUAAGCUAUCCAAUUAAUUUAAUAUGAAAAAUAACAUUUUCCAAAGUAAUUUCAGUGCUUUCAUCGAUGGUUCAUCACUAAAAACAAAGAAUGCUCAUUUCUAUCACGAAAGUAGAGGGCCAAACUUAUUAUUCGAAGAGUUCGACUGAACUCUCCUCCAAUGCUUUAGAGAACAUAACAUCCGUGUCUGAUACACAUCUGAAUCAGGUAUGUAUCUAAUACGGAUAUUUGUCCAGAUAUCAAAGGCCUGACGCCCAGCACAAGUGGCAAAUUGCAUGCAUUGGAACCUCUCGCAGCAAGGCAUCCAAAGUCGGAAGAACUCAAAUGCAUGAUAAGAUAAAUCUUACAGUUCAACAAUAAAGAAUAAAAAAUAUGUGAGGAGACAUUUAGUUACCUUUGACAUGUGGGAUUCCAUGAUCUGCCUUCGGCCCUCUACAUCUGGAUUAGGAACAGCAAUGUGACGGUCAAAGCGUCCGGGUCUCACAAGGGCUUUGUCCAAUGAUUCAGGAAAGUUGGUUGCAGCGAUGACGAUAAUCCCUUCAUUCUGCUUAAAGCCAUCCAACUCAACAAGCAACUGAUUCAGGGUCAUCUUCAUGUACUGUUGGUCCUUUGGGUUGCGGCUCCCACCUAUUGCAUCAAUCUCAUCUAUGAAAAUUAUGCAGGGGGAUCGUUUCUUUGCAGCAGCAAAAAGAUCCCUCACCCUCCUAGCUCCCACACCGACAAACAUCUCCUCAAAUUCACUGCCACUGCAUGAAAAGAAAGGAACACCAGCUUCACCAGCAAUAGCCCUUGCUAACAUGGUCUUCCCUGUCCCGGGUGGACCAACAAGCAAGACACCUUUGGGAAGCUUGCCACCGAGACGGGUGAAACGCUGGAACAACCAACACACAGCAUCUAAGUAAAUUUAUUCUACACAAAUAAUGCAUGACGUGUCGAUCGUAGAUUGACUGAUGCAUCAUAAAGCAUAUAAGUCGGACAAUAGAAGCAUUAGAAAAAAGAAAAAUUGAAGCUCAGAAAUAAGCAAGUUGUAAGGCACUUGAUAACACUUCUUGAUCAUUAGUAGGAACUUGAUGAUUAAAGCACGCGCACACAAGCAAACUAGGAUUGAAUCAGCUAAAGAGUCGGAGUUCGGUCUGUUUGUUAAUCCUAUGAAUGGGAUGAAAUUUAGAUGGGAAAGGAGGAGAGAGAAACACGGGUGGGAAAGUCAGCAGGACAGUUGACGUAUUUUUUACAGAUAAUUAGGAGGGUACUCUUCGUACAAAAAAUGAGAAACGGAAUCAAGAAGGAAUAUUCCUGAUUUCAAAAUUGUCAUAUUGUCAUGUAAACUAGCAACCGGUCGCACAAUAAAGGGUAAAAAGAGGAGAAAGUAACUGAUAGAAUACAAUCUUUUUAGUCAUAUAAACGAAUCCAAUUUAUAUGGGAGUUGAAUCAGAGAAAGAAAUUAAUACAAUAUAUUUGGGAGUUUUAUGAAAGGGGUCUGAUUUGAUUAAAAAAAGUUGACAUAUCAAGAAAGCUAAUAGGAUAAUUAACAUAUUCUUUAAAAUAAUAGGAGGGGUACUCUCGCUAUAAAAAGUGACAUAAAUAAUCAAGAAGGAAAAUUGCCAGAUUUCAGAACUGUUAUUUUUAUAAUAUAGUAUAGAUAGAUAUUUAACAGCAUACAUCUUUCGACAUAAGAAACCUCAGAUAACUAGGGCAAGAAGGAUAUUCCAUAAAUUUGCAUAUGAUGAGUUUGCUUUUACCUUUGGAUCACGAAGAUAAUGAACAAUUUCCUCUAGUUCAGCCUUAGCCUCAUCAAUGCCCUUUACAUCAUUAAAUUUUGUACUAGAAUCCAUGCUUGGCUGCACCUCCUCAUGUAGACCCAGCCCUGUGUAGAAUUAUUACAGGAAACAAAAGUUUCAACAACUGAAAUAUGGCAAAAAAAAAAAAGUUUUUUGACAAGGAAGCAGUUAAUCAUAAGAUACAACAAACCUUUACUAAUUCCCCUAUCCUCAAUGAGUGCUCCAACACCAGAUAUCAAAAGAAAGGUAAGGGCAAUUGUGCGGAAUGUACGCCAUAAUUGCUCUUUAAAUUGACCAGUUUCUGCUGUCACCAUGUGAAUAGGGGCAUUUGCAGUUCCAAGAAUUCCUUCCUUGGUCAUCUGGCCUACAUUCCUCAAUGCCGGCAUGCUGCUGAUACUCUCUUCCUCCCUUGCUGAAUUAACAAUCCCUACAUAUUAUCGUCCAGGUUUCUAAGUCACCCUGAGAGACUAGGCAUAUACUCACGAAUGGAAGCAAGUUACAUGAAAAUAAUAACCUUAAACUUAGAAGAAGAUACACCAAAAGUUAACAAGCAGAACGGCUUAACUUUGGAGACACAUAAAUACCACUCAUAAAUGUAAAAUUUGGGAGUGAUGGGACACUGCAAAAGACAAUUGUAGAUGGAUUUCCUUCACCAAUAUAUAUAUAUAUAUAUAUAUAUAUAUAUAUAUAUAUAUAUAUUAUUNNNNNNNNNNNNNNNNNNNNGUUCUUCUACACUAUAUAUAUAUAUAUAUAUAUAUAUAUAUAUAUAUAUAUAUGCAUUUUCGAUCUAGUGAGGGGACAUAGAACCAAUGUACAUAGACUAUAUUAGAAUAUAUGUUAACAGAUUUCUAUAUACAAUCUAAACACAGCCACAAUGUUUUAUUCCACAGGUUGAGAUCCAAUCUUUGUUUCAGGCUUUCAGCCUCGAAAGGUGUAGUUCUUUUAGUGUCUUGAUGAUUUCCAGAGCAUAUAAGCACCUUGCAAGCUUGUGCAGACCAGGCUUUCAUGAGUUCACCACUCAGUGUCAAGUUUAUGAUCAAUGACUAAAUUGAGACAACUUUGAUGACCAUGGCCUAAAAAUAGAAGAUUUAGAAUUUUAAGAGUUCACUAGUUGAAAAUAAUGUGAUCAAAGAACCUUCGAAGAUCUACAGUCAAUUAUAUGCUAAUUUCUUUAUACCUUAUAUUUAGGGAUGCUCAUUGAAGAUACUAUGAUAUAUUUAUUCAUGAAAGAAUCCCACAAAAGCCACAUCCUGUAUGGAUGAUAUACAUUAUAGCAACCUCAGAAAUCAAAAUAUGAUCCAUAAAACCUACUAUUAGGUACUAACCUAAUUUCAACCCUCUGAAUAAGUGUACAAUUCUCAAAGAAUGCAUAUUUGGGCAGCAGGGCUUCCAAGACAAAAAAUGAAAAGAUGCAUUCAGAAACUUUUCAGGAACCACUAUUGAAAAGAUAUACAUGUCAUUGGCAACAAAGUGGUAGGAAAAAUAAACUGAUAUGCAUGGUCAAAUAUCAUCACAUUUUAUAAAAUAUUAUUCUGAGAGUACUAGGUACCCCUGAGGUAGUGUUUGUUCAUGCUUCUCCAUUAUGAAGUAACAGAUAACCACGGGGGUUACUAGAGAAGCUGAAUUCAAACAAAUGUCCGAAGAUAGGGCAACCACAUAGAGGUUACAAGAACAGGAUUCAGUUUAAUGGCAAAGACUAGAAAGGCUCAGAACAGAAAAAGGCAUGGGCUGAGCAAAUAUGGUAAAAUGGAAUGCAUCGAUCUGACCAAAAUAGAUAUGAACAUGGUAACAUCUAUUUAUUAUUAUCAUUUAGGGUGCUAUAGCAGCACUUGUAAGAUCGACAGAUAAAUCCAGGAAGAUAACCUUCCCCAACUCUGCAUGAUUAUGAUAGAAGCACCACAUGGAUGUGCAACAAUAUUAACACAUUCAUCAAUUGGCAAAGCACUUCUUUUAUUCCAUACUACGCACUCACAACUGCAUACUAAUGUUACAGAAUGAAACCAUAGAUGCUUGAUAAUAGUCAUAAAAGUAACGUGACUCCGCAGUGAAACAAAAUUGCCACUCCAUUACAAGCCAUGUACUUGAUAGUGACAUCAUCACAUCAUGCAAGCCAAAAUCCCUCACAUACCAUAAGGUGAGGUCAUUAUGGAACGUAGUGUAUUACCUCUCUGCAAUGUCUUGAGCAAGGAGCUUUCAUCCAGCCUAUCAACUUGAACUAAUGCUUUAACAUACUCCGCAAGCGCUGAAGGGUUAGAAUGCAGUGAAGGCUGACUUUCAAAUAGUCUAAUAACUCUUUCUGGAUCACUUCUGUAAAGUUCUUUAAGCAGUGCAACAUCAUUGGUUCCAUCUACAUCCCGUGCUCUGCGAGCAAAACUACCAACAUAGCUUGACUGAAACCUUUGGUGAAAAUUUCUAAGUCUGUUUCCUGCAAUCAGCAAACGUAUAAGAAAAUCAUAGUACGAGGAAAAGAGUAAUGCAUUUUCCAGUACAUAAACGGAAAACUAUCAAGUACAACCCAAAGUUUCGAAGGCUUAUUUUAAUUAGAAUGAAUGCAAUUCCAUUUUUAAAAUAACCGAGGUGGAAAAUAUAGCCUAAGUUUCUUAUAAAGAAAAUAAAAACAAGGCUCGUUUUAAUACAGGUGACUUCAAUGAACAUUCACAGCUUAUCAGUCAGAAGUAUAGUCAGUUUCAGAUUGUUUCAGACAAGACAUACCAGUCUCGUAUGGAAAAAAAAAGCAACUUAAGCUAACUAGUAAGUCCUAUUUGAAAGAUACAAACCCAAAUGCACAUAGAAGUAGAAGUUGACCUAAUGGGUCUUCAUGAGCAUUUGGGAAAAAAAUUACAAUAUGUCCGGCACGAAUACAGAUGGAACAUCCCUUAGUUCUUUUUAAUCAAAACCAAAAAUGCUCUGUCAUAUCCAUGGAGAUAUGGAUGCUAGUAAGCCAUCUUGUAGCUUAUGGAUUAAUCAUGCUAAGCUGCUUCCUCAGUGUUCCACCAGGUCGCUUGUCACCUACCUAGUUGACCAAGUUUGCACCAUAACCACAACAAACAUACACCAUCCUAUCAAUAGAAGGCUCUCUGUAACUUCAUGACAGGCAGAAAGGUUUGCAUCAGAAAAUAUUUUUAAAGCAUUCCUAAGGGUUGUCUAUUGUUUUUGUUAUAUUUUCAAGCAUACCAUGGUUCUGAUGGUUAUAACAUUUACCUUUUUUCUCUUUUCUUUCUAGUUUCAAAUCACUCAUGGGUAAAACUAUACUCAAAUACUUAAGCCUAUAAAUGCAAAUUACUAGUCAUAAUUAUGCCAAAAAAAAGAUAAAAAUGGGAUCCACAAGGAGCUAAUUGCAAAAUGAUUUAUGGAAAGAGAAAAAGGAAAGGAGAGAGUUUCAAACUCCAAUUUAUUCUAAGAACGAGGGAGGAAAGAGCUGAAAAAAAGCAUUAGGCCACAUACAAAGUUCCUCAAUCGAACUCUUGCAAAGCUAUGAACCAAUUCCACAGCAUACCUUAAUAAUGUUCUCCAGUAUUACCUAGAAACUUCAAAAACUCUCUAUUUUUUUUUUUUGGCAGUAUCUGGGCACUUGGACACCUCAAUACUUCAUGACACUCCUUGAGCAAAUCGUGAUAUCAUCACAAUUAUAUAUCAACUUUUGGAACUUCUACUUAUAACAUGUCAGGUCUAACAUAAUAUUUGGCAACGGUUUUUGAAUUCUAUCAAAUUACAAAACAAAUUGUCCAGAAAAUUAUUCAUUAAUACAUAAAUCUACAAUAUAUUUAUAUUUGUAUAAUACAAACAUGUUUGCAUAUCCAAUUUUUUCAAAGAUCCCACGUCUGACUCUUCUAGACACUUGGAACUUGACACCCAUGUCUCUUGUCCAAAAAACAUCGUUACUGUCCUCUAAGAUCUUUAAAUUUUAUCAACAAUAUGAUCUAAUCCCUCAAUUGUUCCUUUUUCUCAAGGCAAAAGAAAACGGAUCCAUGUUUGUUAAACAAGGUAAAUUUUACGCCUUUGUUACUGCAAUCCUCACCUCAUACAAAUUCCUUUAGUCAACCGUCACACAACACGCCACCAGGGAUUAAUUUUGAACAAUGAGAAAUUGCUGAGUACCUUAAAAAAUUUACAAGAACAUCAAUCCUUCCUGAGAACAGUAAAAGGUAAAACAUCAAUCAACACUACAAGACCAUUUUAUAUAAAUAUUAGUUGUCCAUAUAGAACAGAGAGAACAAAUAUAGAUUCUUAAAAAAUUUAACAAAAUUCACACAAUACCUGAAACAAUGAAGUAUUGAUUUCUUAAUAAGGCAACAAACAAUAACAUGACUACAAGCAAAAUAGGGCACUCCUAUAGGGCGGCUGAUAAUAUAGCAAACUUAUGUGGACAUAAUUUUCCAUCAGAUCUUUGUCUUGUAUCCUAUUUUUUCAUGAAACCAAUUAAGCACUAAAACAACCAAAUGAAACAAGAAUGAUCCUAGCAGGAACAUGUAAGUAAAAAUGAUAAGAUAUGCAUCCUAAUGGGUGACUAGCUUAAAGAAACAACAUGCACUGUUUAUUUCUAAAUAAGCAAGUACAUAUAAGAGAAAUUAGAAACUUGCAAACAGUAGUACUGGAAGCUAAACCAAUGGCAUGAACAAGGUCCAAGAUAACAACUUUAAACAGGAUAUGAGUUUAUCUUUGUAGCCAAAGAAGUUGAGUUACAAACAAAAAUUUGGUAAUUUGGAGUGAAUUGGACAUAAAUCAAAAUUGUCAAUAUAUUCAUUAAAAAUGAGAACAAUGAGAUAUGCAUACCUCCACUACCUUCGGCGAAGUAUAAAGCAGGAUGAGAUUUACCAGUUAACUGAUAUAAGUAUGGAUGCUCCAACUUCUGUUUUGCUAUCUAUUACAAUAUAAACAAAAUCAGAAUUAAAGUAAGAAAGGACAUAACAUAAUGUAAGGAACAAUUAUUUUCUAGUAACUGCUUCAUUUGGAACAACAUGUUGAAAAAAAAUGGCCAAUAGUUUCCCUUAAAAAAAUUGGCCACCAAAAAGGAAAUUGGCGCAAAAGAUGUCCUCUCAUCAGCAGAAUAUAGAAAGGUAUGUCAAGCAAUGAAGCAGUCAUCCGCAUAAAUUGCCAUCAAAAAGAAAAGAAAAAGAGCAGUACGACAAAUCAGAUAAUCUCACGAUCACUACAUAAGCACUAAGAUUAAAGCAAAUAGGAAUGUCAUAUUCUCCUAUAUAUGCCACAGAUACAACAAAAACAGCUUCUUCUCUUGUCGAAUUUGUUGCUGUCAAGAACGCUUCAACAAACGGUUAAUGAAGAAUAUAAUUGUACCCUUGGAAGAUUGUUGGCUAUGCAUUUCUUCCUAUUCCACCCAAAGUGGGUACUACCAUUUCCCAUUAGAUUGUUAAAAACCAGUGCUGUUAAAGGCAGUUGCCUAGGCAGCAGAAUAGAUGCCAAAUUGUGCCAGAGAACCUAGGCCAAGAAUGCCUAGAGCUUUACUUGGUUAAAGGCAUGUUUUUCCCUUCUCUUGCCCAAUAUAAUCCCAUAUAAGACCUUCAGAAGGGUGGUGAAGGCCACCACCAACCCAUCAAUUGCUCAUAGGUUAGUCAAUGGUUAUUGUUGGAUCGGAGAUGAUGGAUGGUCGUGGUGAUGGCAAACACUUAUCACCGGUGCCAAGAAUGUAAAUAUGUCUUACUUUUUUCUACCUCUCUCAAGAAUGUAAUAUUACUUACUUUUUUUCUGCCUCUCUCAAUUCCAUACUUUUUUCUUCUUGAGACGAAUCCUCAUAAUCAACUCCUCUUUGAGGUGGUUACCUAGGAUGCCACCUAGGUACCAAAUUGAGCCAGGUUGCUUAGGCCAAGCUUGCUAAAGCUUCACUUCAUCAAGGUGCAGAUUGGUUGGGGAAUAAGUGGGGGGUUAUUCCUCCAAAUGGAGGAUAUCCCCCUAAAUUCUUGCGAAACACCAAAAAGGAGAGAGAGGGAAAGGGGGGUUUUUUUCUCAGGGGGUGGGUGGUUGUGGGGGUUGGUGUGGGGGGGGCUUGUACCAUGUGGGUGGAUAUCCCCCUCAUAUUGUGUAUAUCUCACCAAAAUGAUGGAAUAGACUUAUAACAUGGAAUAGGAUUGUCCCUAUCCCCUUCAAUUACCAUUUUGCCCACUUUUUUCUUCCUUUCUCAAUUCCAUUCUUUCUUCUUCUUUAGACUAAUCCUCCUUCUCCUUUGAUUUUCUUUCUUCCUUUUCUUCUACUACUGCUGCCUCAUUUCACCAUGCUUCCCUUGUUUUUCAUGUUUUUGGCUUUAGUCUUGCUCACUAUCCUAUGUUCUCUUGCCUCCUUUUCUCCUUCCUUCUUCAUUUUCUUCCACUAUUGCUUCUUCAGUUGGCCAUAUUUCCCUAGUUUUUCAUGUUUUUGCUUUUCAUCUUGAUCACCAUCCUAUGGUUUGCUUGCCACCUCCUACAUUCCUUCUUCUUGAUGGCUGUUUGCUAUGGCCCUGCAGUCUGCUGGCUGCUACUUCCCUACCAUUCUAUUCUUCCCUUCUAUUCCUUGCUAGGCGGUGGCCACCUAGCUAUGGCUCCAUAGUUGCUAGUUGCUGCAAUGGCAACAAUUCUUAGUAAUGCUCUCCUUCUUCUUGUGGAUGUUGAUCUUGGGACUUUUAAGUGUAAAAAAGGUUUUAUGCUGCAGUUUAUUGUAGAUAAUAAGUGCAUAAAAUGAUAUAUGCAUAACUAAUUUAUGUAAUCAAAAGCAUUCAUGAUUAAAACUUCCAGUGCUUUCCUCUCUAGGCAAUGCCUCGGUGCUCGACUAGGCCAUAAAAGGUGUCCACCAUUUGGCUUUGCCUAGUAAACUUAAUAACCUUGUUAAGAACAUGAGAAAAAUAGGUCAAGAGUCCAUUAUGCCC